rnacentral:rRNA from 1 species
GAUGAACGCUAGCGAUAGGCCUAACACAUGCAAGUCGAGGGGCAUCACAUGAGGCAGCAAUGCCGAUGGUGGCGACCGGCGCACGGGUGAGUAACACGUAUGCAACCUGCCUUCAACAAGGGGAUAACCCGUUGAAAAACGGACUAAUACCCUAUAAUACAGGGGUCCCGCAUGGGGAUAUUUGUUAAAGAUUGAUCGGUUGAAGAUGGGCAUGCGUUCCAUUAGCUGGUUGGUGAGGUAACGGCUCACCAAGGCAACGAUGGAUAGGGGAACUGAGAGGUUUAUCCCCCACACUGGUACUGAGAUACGGACCAGACUCCUACGGGAGGCAGCAGUGAGGAAUAUUGGUCAAUGGACGCAAGUCUGAACCAGCCACGUCGCGUGAAGGAAGACGGCCCUACGGGUUGUAAACUUCUUUUAUACGGGAAUAAAGUGCCCCACGCGUGGGGUUUUGCAUGUACCGUAUGAAUAAGGAUCGGCUAACUCCGUGCCAGCAGCCG